rnacentral:rRNA from 1 species
UACAGAGGUGGCAAGCGUUGUUCGGAAUUACUGGGCGUAAAGGGCGCGUAGGCGGCCUUCCAAGUCCUGUGUGAAAUCCCUCGGCUCAACUGAGGAAUUGCACGGGAAACUGUUUGGCUUGAGUUCGGGAGAGGGAAGCGGAAUUCCGGGUGUAGCGGUGAAAUGCGUAGAUAUCCGGAGGAACACCGGUGGCGAAGGCGGCUUCCUGGACCGACACUGACGCUGAGGCGCGAAAGCUAGGGGAGCAAACGGG